rnacentral:tRNA from 1 species
AUUUUAUUAGUAUAAAAUAGUACAACUAACUUCCAAUUAGUAAGUUCUUUUAGAAUAAAAUA